rnacentral:lncRNA from 1 species
AUCACUCUUAACCACUCAUCUUCUUCAUCUAAUCUUUUCUCUUAACAUGAAUUGGAAUCAAUUACGCGACAGUCGACCACCGGUAGUGCCAUCAUCCACUAUUUCAUCUGCUCCAAAAACCACUGAUUUAAGCUUUUUUUUUCAUCUUCUUGUUUCCCCCCUUUAUUUAUCUGUUAUCUGUAAGAAAAAUGGGUAAGACAGCUUCCCUCUCCAAAUCACAUUUUAUAGAUCUAUUAUUAAGAAAUGAGUUUUAGUUUUAGUUUUAGUUUUUUUGUUAUCUUCUGGAAAUUGAUUGAGAGUUGAAACUGUUGAGAAAUGAGUUUUUAUUCUUUCUUGUUAUGUUCUAGAAAUUGAUGGAGUGUAGAAGAGAAUGAGGAGUAAGAUUAAAGUAAAAACAAGAUGGAAACAGAAAUGGGUUCUGCAAUUUUUAUUUUUACAACUGUGGUUCAAGAACACUCGAUUACAGCUCCAACCAAG